GUAGUCCACGCCGUAAACGAUGGGUACUAGGUGUUGUAGGAAUUGACCCCUACAGUGCCGACGCUAACGCAUUAAGUACCCCGCCUGGGAAGUACGGCCGCAAGGUUAAAACUCAAAGGAAUUGACGGGGGCCCGCACAAGCGGUGGAGCAUGUGGUUUAAUUCGAUGCAACGCGAAGAACCUUACCUGGGUUUGACAUCCACUGACAAUUCUAGAGAUAGAACUUCCUCUUCGGAGGCAGUGAGACAGGUGCUGCAUGGCUGUCGUCAGCUCGUAUCGUGAGAUGUCGGGUUAAGUCCCUUAACGAGCGCAACCCUUAUCCCUAGUUGCCACCAUUUAGUUGGGCACUCUAGGGAGACCGCCGGUGUUAAACCGGA
rnacentral:rRNA from 1 species